UCCAGGCUGUUCCGUGAGGGCAUAUCCAAACAUUUUGAAUUUGAAAGUUAACGGUGAAGUUUUAUUUGAACAGAACGGACAAUAAUGAAAUGUCUAUGUGAAAGGAAUGUUUAAGGCUAGCCAAACUAACAAACCUACAAGGGCAUUGAAAGAAUGUUUGAAACGGUGUAAUGAAAAUUCAAAUGAAAACCUACAACGGUAAUGAGCGGGGAAAACCACAUUUGGAAUGUUCUUAAGUUGUGUGCCUUUGCCCUGUUCAACAAUGAAUUCAAGGUUUUUAUAGGCCGAUCCAGCGGAGUAGUGGGCGUUGAAAGUAAAUCCUCAGGUUUCUCUUCUCUGAAUUCUUCAGCCAUAUGGAGAUUCGAACAUGUGACUUAAGGUUCAAACCCUGGAAUUAAAAUUUUUUUUCACAUUCUGGCUGGUAAAAGAUGAAGGGGCAAAACGGAGGAUCAUAAAUUAGCAACCAAAUGAGAUCAAAUUCCCUCUUCCAGAGAUAAAACAGGUUUUGAGGGGACCCGAAACCCCUUAGAACAAGUUUUGAAGGGACCUGAAACCCUUAGAUUUUACACGGAUUUGAAACCCAAAAUAGACAGCUACCAAAGGAUUCAACAUUGAUAAUCAACAACCCAAACUCAGCCAAGCAUCGAAGAGUUAAAUUUGAUGUUUGUUUGGGUGUUAGUGUACACAUUUGAAGGUUAAAUUUGACAGAAAUUAAUCUGUCAUGCAUAUAAUUAAUUGGGCCUAAUUUUGAUGUAUGUUUAGUUGUCAUCGAUUAGAACUAUAUGAUAAAUUUAAUGCUCAUUUUGAGUCAGAAGUAGCAAUAUGAGAAG